GAUUAAAUGGCUGAAAUUUAGGCAAUAGACUGUAAAUCUAUUUAUGAGAUAUUCUCUUUAAUCA
rnacentral:tRNA from 2 species